UAAUUAGUUCAGCUUCGAGCUGUAUAUCCUAAGGCUUAUGCUAAGGAGUACAGCCGAUAGGGUAUAUUUGGAAACAAAUAUACCUCCCAUUUAGGAAAGGAGCUGAUCUUGUGAAAAG
rnacentral:ncRNA from 2 species